rnacentral:tRNA from 1 species
UCCUGGUGGCUCAGAUGGUAAAGAACCUGCCUGCAAUGCAGGUGAACCAGGUUCAAUCCCUGGGUCAGGAA